CCUACGGGAGGCAGCAGUGGGGAAUAUUGCACAAUGGGGGGAACCCUGAUGCAGCGACGCCGCGUGGGUGAGGAAGUACUUCGGUAUGUAAAGCCCUAUCAGCAGGGAAGAAAAUGAGGGUACCUAACUAAGAAGGCCUGGCCAACAACGUGCCAGCAGCCGCGGUAAAACGUGGGGGGCGAGCGUGAUCCGGAUGUACUGGGUGUAAAGGGAGCGUAGACGGCGUGCCAAGACUGGUGUGAAAGGCCGGGGCUCAACCCCGGGAGUGCAUUGGAAACUGGCAUGCUGGAGUGCCGGAGGGGCAAGCGGAAUUCCAGGUGUAGCGGUGAAAUGCGUAGAUAUUAGGAGGAACACCAGUGGCGAAGGCGGCUUGCUGGACUGUAACUGACGUUGAGGCUCGAAAGCGUGGGGAGCAAACAGGAUUAGAUACCCGUGUAGUC
rnacentral:rRNA from 1 species